rnacentral:misc_RNA from 1 species
GAUGAAGAACGUAGCGAAAUGCGAUAAGUAAUGUGAAUUGCAGAAUUCAGUGAAUCAUCGAAUCUUUGAACGCACAUUGCGCCCGCCAGUAUUCUGGCGGGCAUGCCUGUCUGAGCGUCAUUUCAACCCUCAUGCCCCUAGGGCGUGGUGUUGGGGAUCGGCCAAAGCCCGCGAGGGACGGCCGGCCCCUAAAUCUAGUGGCGGACCCGUCGUGGCCUCCUCUGCGAAGUAGUGAUAUUCCACAUCGGAGAGCGAUGAGCCCCUGCCGUUAAACCCCCAACUUUCCAAGGUUGACCUCAGAUCAGGUAGGAAUACCCGCUGAACUUAAGCAUAUCAAUAAGCGGAGGA